UACAGAGGUCUCAAGCGUUGUUCGGAAUCAUUGGGCGUAAAGGGUGCGUAGGCGGUAGAGUAAGUCUGGUGUGAAAUCCUGGAGCUUAACUUCAGAAAUGCACUGGAUACUGCUUUGCUAGAGGACUGGAGAGGAGAUUGGAAUUCACGGUGUAGCAGUGAAAUGCGUAGAUAUCGUGAGGAAGACCAGUGGCGUAAGCGAAUCUCUGGACAGUUCCUGACGCUGAGGCACGAAGGCUAGGGGAGCAAACGGG
rnacentral:rRNA from 1 species